rnacentral:tRNA from 1 species
ACUGGUUUGGCUCAGUGGAUAGAGCAUCGGCCUGCGGACUGAAAGGUCCCAGGUUCGAUUAUCCUGGAAAAAGUC